rnacentral:rRNA from 1 species
UACGUAGGGUGCAAGCGUUGUCCGGAAUUAUUGGGCGUAAAGAGCGUGUAGGCGGCUUGGUAGGUCCGCUGUGAAAACUCGAGGCUCAACCUCGAGAUGUCGGCGGAAACCACUUGGCUAGAGUCCGGAAGAGGAGAGUGGAAUUCCCGGUGUAGCGGUGAAAUGCGCAGAUAUCGGGAAGAACACCUAUGGCGAAGGCAGCUCUCUGGGACGGUACUGACGCUGAGACGCGAAAGCGUGGGGAGCGAACAGG